AUUGAACGCUGGCGGCAGGCCUAACACAUGCAAGUCGAGCGAGCGGCGGACGGGUGAGUAAUGUCUGGGAAACUGCCUGAUGGAGGGGGAUAACUACUGGAAACGGUAGCUAAUACCGCAUACCAUCAGAUGUGCCCAGAUGGGAUUAGCUAGUGGGUGGGGUAACGGCCCACCCAGGCGACGAUCCCUAGCUGGUCUGGGAGGAUGACCAGCCAAACUGGGACUGAGACACGGUCCAGACUCCUUCGGGAGGCAGCAGUGGGGAAUAUUGCACAAUGGGCGCAAGCCUGAUGCAGCCAUGCCGGGUGUGGGAAGAAGGCCUUCGGGUUGGAAAGCACUUUCAGCGGGGAGGCGUUACCCGCAGAAGAAGCACCGGCUAACUCCGUGCCAGCAGCCGCGGUAAUAC
rnacentral:rRNA from 1 species